GGCAGCUGAGGGCCUGGGGGAAGGAGGCCUUGAGAUGUGCUGGAGGCUGGGCCUCUGUAGUGCUGGGCUGUGAAACCAUCCCCAGGUCCGUGAGCCAAGCCUUAGUGGUUUCUGAAGAGGACACAAAUGCUGCUGCACAAGUCAGAGGCCCACAGCUCAGCUGGACUGCCUGUUUACCAAGUGGUCUCUGAGUCACCUCCCUGUCAGCCCAGAUAAACCACAAAACAUUUAUUUUUGUAGGUUUUGCUUAUAAAUCAAGGCAAAACAGUAGACAUAAUCAUGUAAAAAGACAGAAGAACACAGACAAGUCAGUUGCCUGUGUGGAUGGCCUUUGCUUCUGUCUUCACCGUGAAGCACAAAUGAAUCUAUCUGUGAAGAAGCCUAUGAAAAUGUGGGUUCAACAAGGGACAUAGACAGCAACAACCAAACGGAGAGCAACAGUUCCUGGCUCUGCCAUUCACUUGUUCUUUGAGGUCCUUCCAUCCUGACUGAACUAUGCUGAAACCUGCUUGUUGAGCUCAUAACCUUCUCUUGUAACUCCUGUGACUGUUCGUCCAUCAAGAUUUUGUUGUUUUGCUUUUGCAGUACUGAGGCAUGAGCUUGCACAUGCUAGGCAAGUGCUCCACUAAGCUAUACCCCAGCCCUUGUCUUUUUGAGACAGGAUCUCACUAUGUAGCCCAGGCUGGCCUAAAACCUGUGAUCCUCAUGCCAUUAGAAGUAGGGUCUUACUAUGUAGCUGGACCCGGAACUUGCUAUGGUGCCCAGCCUAACCUCUGCAUCCUGAGUGCUAGGAUUACACAUGUGUACACACAUGUAUCAGGUGGAAGGCAUGAAUCAUAAUGUUCUGUAGCACAGAAGGACAACUAUGUUUUCCAUAAAUAAACUGAAAAUGUCAAAAUAGCUAACAGAUGGAAUUUUGAACAUUUUU
rnacentral:lncRNA from 1 species